rnacentral:rRNA from 1 species
CUGGCUCAGGAUGAACGCUGGCGGCGUGCCUAAUACAUGCAAGUCGAACGAGAGUGCUUGCACUCUAGUGGCGAACGGGUGAGUAACACGUAGGUAACCUGCCUUACAGUUGGGAUACCCUGGCGAAAGCUAGGCUAAUACCGAAUAAUUGGAUUGGAGGCAUCUCCGAUCUCUAAAAGGGGCCUUUAAAGCCUCGCUGAAUGAUGGACCUGCGGCGCAUUAGCUAGUUGGUGAGAUAACAGCCCACCAAGGCGAGGAUGCGUAGCCGACCUGAGAGGGUGAACGGCCACACUGGAACUGAGACACGGUCCAGACUCCUACGGGAGGCAGCAGUAGGGAGUUUUCGGCAAUGGGGGCAACCCUGACCGAGCAACGCCGCGUGAAUGAUAGAAGGUCUUCGGAUUGUAAAGUUCUGUUAUAAGGGAAAAAUGAUAUGGUGAGGAAAUGCUCCAUAUUUGAUGGUACCUUAUUAGAAAGCCACGGCUAACUACGUGCCAGCCGCCGC